GAAAUAUGGGUAUGCCUUCGAGGC
rnacentral:siRNA from 1 species